rnacentral:misc_RNA from 1 species
UGUUCUGCAAACUGUAUCUUGGG